rnacentral:misc_RNA from 1 species
ACGAAAUGUUUGUCGAGAGGGGUUGUAGCUGGCCUCGCCUGGCAAGUGCACGCCCGGAUCGCAAAUCUCUCACCCUUCACAUCUGUGCACAUAUCCCGCAGCUUUGCGACGCAGACGAGAGAUGGAUUUAUUCUGAUUCGGAUGCGUCUUGAGCUUGCGAGCUUUUUAUCACACACAAUCUUUAUCAAGUACCAGAAUGUCGCAGCGCGUAGAGCGCGAAAUAAAUA